ACACAUCGGGUUAGGAAGACUUAAUAAUAUGACUAGAUAGUUUUUGAGAGUGACAUGUUGGAGAUGAUUGAUUAUGAAUAUAUUACUGAAAAAAUACUAACAAAAUGAUUUAAUUUUGUGUUAAUAAAAAAUUCAGUAUUAGGGCCUCAUAUUGAAUAUUGCACCGGAGCCCCCAAAUACUGGAGAUGGACGAACGGAUGCAUCUCCUUGGUUUUUUUGCUGCAAAAUGUGAUGCCGGUUGUGGCUCUAUGCCCACCUCCUGGAUUGUGUUCUUACCGUCGAGUGACCAACAAGAGGGAGAGGAGGAGCGCAACUGCGCUUGAGCUCGGUGGUGGGGAAAGGAGGCUCGUGAAGAUGAGCUUGUGUGUGCUGGACUGGCAUCUCUAUGUGUUCUCAUGUAGGGACGGUGAACCAGAAGUUGUGUGUAUAUGGCAUACUGCAGUUCUUGUGAUUUGCAGGUCACAAAAGGAGGAUCUAUUCUACUUGGACUAAACUGCAAUUGGCACCAAUUGCCAAUUAUUAAUCCGCUUUGAUGAAUCUUAUGUAUGAACCUGGAGGGAGAGUGGUCUUAAUAUGAGCAACGUCCAGUGAGUCGUGUUGAUGUCCUACCAGAAAAAAAGAUCAAUCAAUAUCUUAAUAUCGUAGAGUUUUUGGUUUAUUAUUAAGUGUAUUACAAAAUGAUCAACACUAUGUUUUUGUAAGCAUACAUAAAUUAUUAUUAUUUUCCUACUAA